UACGUAGGGGGCAAGCGUUGUCCGGAAUCAUUGGGCGUAAAGAGCGUGUAGGCGGCCCGGUAAGUCCGCUGUGAAAGUCGGGGGCUCAACCCUCGAAUGCCGGUGGAUACUGUCGGGCUAGAGUGCGGAAGAGGCGAGUGGAAUUCCUGGUGUAGCGGUGAAAUGCGUAGAUAUCUGGAGGAACAUCGGUGGCGAAGGCGGCAUCCUGGACCGGUAUUGACGCUGAGGCGCGAAAGCCAGGGGAGCAAACGGG
rnacentral:rRNA from 1 species